rnacentral:ncRNA from 1 species
UUUGCUGCAAAGUAAAGUUUAAAGUUCCCCGGAUUUUGGAGAAUUUUAAACUUUAUAUUCGAGUCAAACAACACUCUCAACAAUGGAGAGUUAAGGCGCCCAACUCGACGCUCAUGGGACACCAUGAAAGGCGUUGGUUGCUUAAGACAGCAGGACGGUAGCCAUGGAAGUCGGAAUCCGCUAAGGAGUGUGUAACAACUCACCUGCCGAAGCAACUAGCCCUGAAAAUGGAUGGCGCUGAAGCGUCGAGCCUAUACUCUGCCGUCAGCGGCAAGGGGGGCGGCCGCGUGCGCGUCGCGUACGCGCCGCCACGAAGCCCUGACGAGUAGGAGGGUCGCGGCGGUGUGCGCAGAAGGGUCUGGGCGCGAGCCUGCCUGGAGCCGCCGUCGGUG